GAUGAACGCUGGCGGUAUGCCUAACACAUGCAAGUCGUACGAGAGUUUUUUAACUCUAGUGGCGGACGGUGAGUAACACGUGAGAAUUUGCCUUUAGGAGGGGGAUAACAAUUGGAAACGAAUGCUAAUACCCCAUAUGCUUUUGAGUGAAAUGGAUUUUAUCCGCCUAAAGAGAAGCUCGCGGCUGAUUAGCUUGUUGGUGGGGUAAAAGCCCACCAAGGCGACGAUCAGUAGCUGGUCUGAGAGGACGAUCAGCCACACUGGGACUGAGACACGGCCCAGACUCCUACGGGAGGCAGCAGUGGGGAAUUUUGGACAAUGGGGGCAACCCUGAUCCAGCAAUGCCGCGUGAGUGAAGAAGGCCUUCGGGUUGUAAAGCUCUUUUGUCAGGGAAGAAACACCGGCUCUAACACAGUCCGGGAAUGACGGUACCUGAAGAAUAAGCACCGGCUAACUACGUG
rnacentral:rRNA from 1 species